GUCCUUGCCGUAAACGAUGCAUACUUGGUGUAGUUGGACUCAACCCCGACUGUGCCGUAGCUAACGUGUUAAGUAUGCCACCUGGGGAUUACGCCCGCAAGGGUGAAACUCAAAAGAAUUGACGGGGGCCCGCACAAGCAGUGGAGCAUGUGGUUUAAUUCGAUGCAACGCGAAGAACCUUACCUAGGCUUGACAUGUAGAGGACAGCUUUAGAGAUAGAGUCUCCCGCAAGGGUCUCUACACAGGUGCUGCAUGGCU
rnacentral:rRNA from 1 species